AACUGAUGAAAAUAUAUAUGGCUAGAGUGUUGGUCAGACAUCGGUGCUGGACCAACACAAAGGUGAUAAUCCUUUUUAAUAUAGAUUUGUGUAUGCGUGUUUUGGAUCCGGAUCCUAGAAUGAGAAGAUGAGCCGGUCCGCGUGGGCCGUGUUGCCGAACUUGGUGACGCGGCGGACGAAGAGCACCAAGAGGCCCGAGAGGAGGUGACUAUCAUCGAAUAGGCCAUAGUUUCGGUAGAGCUACCGCUUAAACAAAUUUCUGUGAAAUUUUUAUACUCCUUGAUCCACGGCAUGCAUUUCAAAGAAAUUCACAAUUCUGGUGAAAUCCCUACGUUUCAAAGACUGCUGAAACUAAAAUCAGGAGUGUGCCAACUGCACGUGUCAUGUGAAUUUCUCAAUGUUUCAGUCAAUGAUAUGCUUAUUGGUUGGGUUCGUAUCAUUUUUAGAAAAUGACUGACAUAUUUACUUUGCAAUCAUAGAUUUUGUGAUGCUCCUUUUUGGACGCUUUGCGCUCGCGUAGCUGCUAAGGCACAAGAAAAGAGCAAACGGAGAGGAAUUUCGAAUUGGCAGGUGCUGCCUCCACCUGGUAACGGUGGGCUGAAAUACUAUGGUUGUGAGCAGUAAAUUCGACCAAAUCAUCUGCUCCUUAGAAGCCAUCUGCGCCUCGACCGGACAGUGACAUAGGUGAUCCACAGCAUAUUGUCGCUGUUCUAUAUAUCAGGGUGACUAUUCUAUGGUUUCUUUAUCCGGGAAGGAUACUCGUUCGACUAUGUGUUUGACUGGACCAUUCUAAUGUAUCCUCAAAUAGGCGCCAACCCGUGAACCAGGGUGAUCUUAUUGUAUUGGGAGCUGAUCUUAUUGUAAUGGCAAUAAGUGUAGUUGAUGGAUGGACUAAUGCUGACACUAAACUUAUGGAGCAUGUUUUGGUAAAUAGGCUUGUGGUGUUAAAGAGGGCUAGGAUGGAGCGUAUGAAGGCAUUGGAGAAGAUGAUGAAUUCCAAAUCAGCAUCUUCCAUUGCGAAUCUGGUGGCUUUGAUCAUUUCUGUCAUCUUUUGCUUCUUCAUACUUUGGCAAGGCCGUUUUGUUGCGCUGUUGUGCACGCGGUUGUAGGGAGGGCGUAUUGUGGCGGCUACAAGGGACCGAUGUUCCUAUGUGGCGGUGACAACGACACCGUGGAGCCAAGGCAAUGUCAGCAAGCUGAUUUUUUAGAUUGGAAUCUAUGGUUCUUUUUAAAGAUCGAAUAUGUUCUAGCAUCUUAAAAAGAUUUGUCAGAAUGUAAACAUUUGUUCUGAGGUCACUUAGGUCUCAAACAAAAUUUCUUGGACUUAUUUCGUUGGAGGGAAUUGGAAAUCUCGAGAUCUAAAUGUGUAUAGAACAUAUAUUUUUUAUGGGUAUCAAAUAUGAUUGUAUGCAAAGCACAGACAUUUUACGAUAACAAUGAA